rnacentral:rRNA from 1 species
UACGUAGGGGGCAAGCGUUGUCCGGAUUUAUUGGGCGUAAAGAGCGUGUAGGCGGUUUGGUAGGUCCGCUGUGAAAACUCGAGGCUCAACCUCGAGACGCCGGUGGAAACCAUCAGACUAGAGUCCGGAAGAGGAGAGUGGAAUUCCUGGUGUAGCGGUGAAAUGCGCAGAUAUCAGGAAGAACACCCGUGGCUAAGGCGGCUUCUACUAGUACGGUACUGACGCUGAGACGCGAAAGCGUGGGGAGCGAACAGG